AGAGUUUGAUCUGGCUCAGAUUGAACGCUGGCGGCAGGCCUAACACAUGCAAGUCGAAUGGUAACAUUUCUAGCUUGCUAGAAGAUGACGAGUGGCGGACGGGUGAGUAAUGCUUGGGAACUUGCCUUUGCGAGGGGGAUAACAGUUGGAAACGACUGCUAAUACCGCAUAAUGUCUUCGGACCAAACGGGGCUUAGGCUCCGGCGCAAAGAGAGGCCCAAGUGAGAUUAGCUAGUUGGUAAGGUAACGGCUUACCAAGGCGACGAUCUCUAGCUGUUCUGAGAGGAAGAUCAGCCACACUGGGACUGAUACGCGGCCCAGAGUCCUGCGGGAGGCAGCAUUGGGGAAUAUUGGACAAUGGGGGAAACCUUGAUGCAGCCAUGCCGGGUGUGUGAAGAAGGCCUUCGGGUUGUAAAGCACUUUCAGUUGUGAGGAAAAGUUAGUAGUUAAUACCUGCUAGCCGUGACGUUAACAACAGAAGAAGCACCGGCUAACUCCGUGCCAGCAGCCGCGGUAAUACGGAGGGUGCGAGCGUUAAUCGGAAUUACUGGGCGUAAAGCGCAAGCAGGAGGUUUGUUAAGCUAGAUGUGAAAGCCCCGGGCUCAACCUGGGAUGGUCAUUUAGAACUGGCAGACUAGAGUCUUGGGGAGGGGAGUGGAAUUCCAGGUGUAGCGGUGAAAUGGGUAGAUAUCUGGAGGAACAUCAGUGGGGAAGGCGACUCCCUGUCCAAAGACUGACGCUCAUGUGCGAAAGUGUGGGUAGAGAACAGGAUUAGAUUCCAUGGUAGUCCACACCGUAAG
rnacentral:rRNA from 1 species